rnacentral:rRNA from 1 species
GAUGAACGCUGGCGGCGUGCCUAAUACAUGCAAGUCGAGCGAACAGACGAGGAUCUCUCCCCGAUGACGCUAGCGGCGGACGGGUGAGUAACACGUGGGUAACCGGCCUAUAAGACUGGGGUAACGUCGGGAAACCGGAUCUAGCAUCGGAUAAUAGGGCGAACCGCAGGGUUCGAUAGUGAAAGCUGUAUUUGCUAUCACUUAUAGAUGGUCCUGCGCCGUAUUAGAUAGUUGGUAGGGUAACGGCUUACCAAGGCAACGAUACGUAGCCGACCUGAGAGGAUGAUCAGCCACACUGGAACUGAGACACGGUCCAGACUCCUACGGGAGGCAGCAGUAGGGAAUCUUGCGCAAUGGGCGAAAGCCUGAUGGAGCCACGCCGCGUGUGUGAUGAAGGUCUUCGGAUCGUAAAACUCUGUUAUUAGGGAAGAACAACAGUGUGAGAAACCCUGCCUGUCUUGACGUUACCUACUCAGAAAGCAACGGCUAACUACGUG